AAAGUUUCCAAAGGUGAUGGAAAGACUGGAGGAAAGACUAGGUGCUGCGAGCUCUCUCAUACCUGCAUUAAGGAACCAAUUAAGCACACCUGAGCAAUUAGAAACACCUGUAAAGCCAUAUGUUCCAAGCAUUAUGGUGGCCUGGAAUGGGGG